GAUUAUGGCUCAGGAUGAACGCUAGCGGCAGGCUUAACACAUGCAAGUCGAGGGGCAUCGGGAGUAGCAAUACUUGCCGGCGACCGGCGCAAGGGUGCGUAACGCGUGAGCAACAUGCCCGUAUCAGGGGGGAUAAUCCAUGGAAACGUGGUCUAAUACCCCAUAGUAAUUAUGUAAGGCAUCUUAUAUAAUUUAAAGCUUUGGUGGAUACGGAUUGGCUCGCGUGACAUUAGCUGGAUGGUAAGGUAACGGCUUACCAUGGCUACGAUGUCUAGGGGUUCUGAGAGGAAGGUCCCCCACACUGGAACUGAGACACGGUCCAGACUCCUACGGGAGGCAGCAGAGAGGAAUAUUGGACAAUGGAUGGAAAUCUGAUCCAGCCAUGCCGCGUGCCAGGAAGACGGCCCUAUGGGUUGUAAACUGCUUUUGUAUGGGAGCAAUAAGGGCUACGUGUAGUCCGAUGAGAGUACCAUACGAAUAAGCACCGGCUAACUCCGUGCCAGCAGCCGC
rnacentral:rRNA from 1 species